CUGAAGAAAAUGUUGGAAACUCUUUCUAGAUUUGGUGAGAGAGGACUGCCCCUUCUAGAUCACGAAGAAGACAUGAAGAUUCAAAGCAGCUCAUCAUGAAAUUGCGAAAUCAACCCUUAUAAAACAUAACAGUGGAAGCAAGAACUUACCGCAAAGAUAAAGUCAAAACAUUAAGAUCUUCUACUCCUUUAGCUUUUAGGGAUGAACUUAAAGCAAGAAAGAGACUUAUUCGGAGGCUCGGGCAAACUCAAAUCCAAGUGGGAAAGGCUAUAUACAGUUGUCAAAAUAUUCCCGCAGUAGAGAUCAGAAAAUCAGCACCUGAGAAGACAUUAAAGUCAAUGGUCACCAAUUAAAGAACUUUUAGGAGAAACAGCCUCUGGAUUGAAUAAGAUUUCUUUUU